rnacentral:tRNA from 1 species
CUUCUCGUGGUGCAGUGGUAAUACGCACCUGCCUAGUGAGUAGGAGUCAUGAGUUCGAGUCUCACUAAGAGGA